CGCCCCGCACCGGCCGCGCACUUGGGGGAGGGCCCCGUGACUGGGGGAGGAAGGCCUCGCGAUGGAGGGAGGAAGGCCCCGUGACGGAGGAGGAAGGCCUCGCGAUGGAGGGAGGAAGGCCCCGUGACAGGGAGGAAGGCCUCAUGGUGGAGGGAGGAAGGCCCCGUGACAGGGAGGAAGGCCUCAUGGUGGAGGGAGGAAGGCCCCGUGACAGGGAGGAAGGCCUCAUGGUGGAGGGAGGAAGGCCGCGGGACGGCGGAGGAGGGCCACGGGGCGAGGGUGGGACGGUCUGCAGGGGGACGGCUGAAGAGCUCGGCCAGAUGCGCGGCCGCCUGGUCGUCAGCCCUGAGACCCAGAGCGGAUGACGUGGCCUUUGUAAGCCCGAGUUCUAGAAAAUGGAGGAAACUCCACUCCUAGGAUCUUGGGAGAAUCCAGUUGAAGAGGCACCGCCCUCAUAAUCAUUUUCGUUGGUGUUAUCUGCCGGGCUGUAAUCAUGGGUCCGGAGCGAAGAAAGGUGUUCUCGGAGCGAUGGGACCGCCUAGUGAGUGACUCGGGAACUUUAGAGAGCCUGACUUUUAUAUGAUUUUUUUUUUUUCAGCAAAAAGAGAAAGUCAGCACAUUAUUGUACAGCGAGAAGCACAACUUGAGAGAGGACCAGACACUUGCGCUCCCACAAAGCACCGUCUCUGAAGUUUGGGCCUAGGUCCCGGCUCAGUCUGCUUUUCAUGGUGGAAACUCAGACUCUCCAAAGCUGUACCUGGCGACUCCACAGGGCCUUCGUCACUGCCUUCCUCACCCGCCUCCCUCCUGUCCUGGUCUGCACUCAGCUCCUCGUUCUAGACUCUGGCUCUAGUCGACAGCCGUCGUCCAGCUCUCAGGACUUGGCGCUCCUGGAUAAGGGUCUGAUUCUGGUACUCUCUCUGGAUCCUCCACCCUGGAGGUGUCCGAGGGAAGCCAUGCUGGUGUUGGCUCUUGGGAAGCAACUCUGAGCUCUGGGGCAUAGCCUCCCGGAAGCGUGGCCAGGCUGCCCUCCCGGAGCCGCCGAGCCUCCUCCUCCUGCUUCUGUCUACGAAGGAAGGGGUGAGGGACCCCGAGGAUGGAGACAGCUCUGCAGAUUCUGACUCUGUGAGGCUUGAGAUUCAGUAAUGUUAACAAGCUCCCAGAUGAAGCCACUGCUGCUGGGCCACGCAUCACAGUGAGCAGCGGGCACAGACCACCACACACAAGGCAGCCGGUCACCUGAUGGCAGCUGGGCCCAAACUGGAGAUGAGCUACAAGAGAGAGAAUCGUCAGAGCCCUCAGGACUGGACUCAAAACGAAGUCAUGAAGUGAAAACAGUGCAUGUGAUGAUACAUCAUCUCGACAAAGCCACACAUCAACUGCACGAGAUGAGCAAUAUCAUAUUAUUGUUUAUAGAUGAGAAAACCAAGCCUCAGAGAGUCGCAGAGUCAGGUGGUGGGUGUCCUGGUUUCCCGCUGCUGCUUUACAGAAGAUCAUAAACUUUGUGGCUUAAACAUGACUCCUUUUUAUCUUAUGGUUCUAGAAGUCAGAAGUCCUAAAAUCAAGGCCUUGGCUCUAGGGGACUCCAUGAUACAUCUAUUCCCUCUUGAGGGGCUCUGGGAUGGAAUCUGUUUUCGUUCCUUAGCAGCUUCCAGAGGCUGCCGACAUUCCUUGGUGCAGGGUCCUUUUCUCCACCUUCAAAACCAACAUCUCUGACCCUUUGCCUUUAUUACCUCUCCAACCAUAGCCAGGGAAAGCACCUCUGCUUUUAAGGACUCAUGGAAUUAGACUGGGCCCAUCUGAAUAAUGCACGGCUCACCCAAUAUCUCAAGGUCUGUACCUUCAUCAAAUCUGCAAAAUCUCUUUUACUAUGUAAAUUAACAUGUUCACAGUUUCUAGGGAUUGAGGCGCAGACAUCUUUGGGGGCCAUCAUUCUACCUACCGAGGUAGGAAAACUAAGGUCUGGAACCUGGAAUCAAAUCCACUUCCGAUUCCAGAGUGCAUGCUCCUCCCAGGACACAACUCAAAACAGCAGCCAGACUGAGGAUUGUGGUUGAGUCUCCUGGAGCCCAAAUCAAGGAUGGAGUCUAGGUCAGCUGCGGCUAUAGGCAGCCUGAAUUCCAUUAUCAUUUUAGAUUGAACUAAAACAAGGCUGAGGCGGAUUUUGUUUAUCACAAUUCAUUUCGCAUUCUCCUUAGACUCCAUGAAACCCAGUCCUUCCGCACAACGGCGAUGCCUUGGGAGAAAGCACAAAUGUCUAACUGCAGUUCCCACUCGUUAUUUAACCCAACUAAAAGAAACAAGAUGGAAACCAAGGGAUAUCUUUACGAUCUGGCAAUGAAUUACUCAUACUUCCAAGCAAGCAUUUUGAAGCAGAUUUAGUAAAUGAGUUUUGAACGUUGAACUCUUCUGCAGAGAGCUUGAUGACUCCUGGGGUGGGGGGCUGUGAUCACUCAUCAAGACUCCCUACCGCCACAGCAGCCAGGCGCUCCUGGCGACAGAGCUAGCCCUUACAGCCAGCCAAAGUUCAUUCCACACUUGGUGAGUGCAUUCAGAACUUAGUUAUUUAUGUAUUUAUUUGAGAAGGGGGUGGGGAGGGGCAGAGGAAGAGAAUCGCCAGCAGACUCCACACUGAACACAGAGCCCAGCUCAGGGCUCAAUCUCACGACCCUGAGAUCAUAACCUGAGCCAAAACCAAGACUCAGAUGCGCAACCGACUGAACCAGCCAGGCGCCCCUGAACAGAGAAAAAUAUAAUGUGGUUCUUUCAAGCCCAUCUGCUGCAGAUGGCACCCCUGCCCCCCCAAAAAAAUUAAAAAAAAUAGAACUGAAGCUCUAACCCCCAGAACCUGAAAAUAUGGCCUUAUUUGAAAUUGGGGUCAUCAAAGAUGUCAUCUGUAGGAUGACUGGUUUCCUGGUAAGAGGAAACAGGCACAGCGGGUGCCCACGUGGCAACAGAGGCAGAGAUUAGAGGGACGCAUCCACAACCCAAGGGACACUGAGCGGUGCCGAGAACACCAGUGGCAGACGAGGCAAGGAAGGAUUCCUACCUGCCAACAUCUCAACUCUGAAUCCCCAGCCUCCAGAACGGUGGGACCAUAAUUCCUGUUUGAAGUCACCUGGCUUUGGGGGCUUGGCCACGACAGCCCUCGUAAACUGAUAAAUAGAAUCUCUCAGGAUGUUACAACUUCUUCUUUUCACUUUAUAGGAUGGAUGGAUUUCAGAAAAGCAACAGCAUCUGUCCAAACCCACCUCUGUGGCUGCAGCUGAGCUGUUGAGUAUCACUGGCGAGAGUCACACACCACAGAGCCUCGUCUCACUCUGUGUUCAUCGAUUCCAAGUUAUAUCUCCUCCUAAAUAUGUCUCUGAUUACUCACUUGUAUUUUGAAUAUUACCACUGUUAAAAAUUAUUAAAGAAGACAAGUGAAGUGACAAACUUUAUUUAACACAAAGCAUGAAAGUUCAAGAAGUGGGCAGUCUCCAUUCCCAAGUCCAGAGAACUGCAAAAUGGGGUGGAAGGCAGGAAGCAUAGCUCCCUGGUUCGAAGGGGCUCCAUCUUGGGCCUAGAAAUUUAUUUCAAUACCACUUUAAUUCAAGCCACUAUCACCUACGUUGCUUUUCCUACAAGAACACUCACUGUCCAUCAUCCUACACUCCGUGCACUGUCACCUUCUCAUUCUUCUCAUCUCCCUGCCAUCAUCACCUCCACAGAGUCCUAGCCUUCUAUAAUUCCUGAGGUCAGACCUGCCUUUCAGAUGCUCUUGGAGCUCAAGGCCACAGCUCCAGUUUUACAUUUAUUUGCAGGCUUGAUAGGUGUCUUUCCCAGUAGAUGGAAAUUCAAAACAAAAAUAGUCUUAGGCACUUCUAUCAUUGUAUCCUUAACACCCAGCAUAUGUCAUAUGCAGGCACUCAAUAAUUUGUUCAAUGAAAGUUGAACGAACAUUUAAUUUUCACCACCACCUGGAAAGGAAGCAAUUAUUCCCAUUUUUCAAAUGAGAAAAAUUAAGAAGCUCAGGAAAAUUACUUAAGUUGGAGAUAAUCAGAGACUCACCCAAGCUAUCUGAUUAUAAAGCUCAUCUUCUUUCUUAUGUACUCUAGUUCUCAUAAUGUCACACUCAAAUGUCAUAAACUAUUCUGGGCUAACACUGCCAGAGGCGGCAUCAGAGAUAGCAUCUCCCUGGUGCUAAAUGCAGGUAAGAAAACCUUUUCCAUCCAAAAGCAAUCGGCAUACAUCAAUAGUUCUUCACCUAGUAAUUCUGUUCCUAGCAAUUUUAAGACAUGUACACAAGAGUUUUUGAACAAGGAUGUUCACCACAGAACCAUGUUCAGAGAACAACCUUAGAGCAAAUUUUUUAUGCAGACACUAAAUACAUAUUUUAAAAUAUUUAAAUGAUGAGAAAAUGUUUAAAUAGAAUACUUCAUAAUUAAAAGAGCAAUAGACUAGCAAAAGGACACUAGAAUGAUCCCAGUUUAGGGGGCAAGUAUUUCUAUCUAUACAUAGUGAAGAAAAAUAAAAGAAAAUACAGCAAAAAUGUCAAUUAUCUCUAGGAAGAUCAUGGACAAUUUAUAUUUCCUUCC